rnacentral:snRNA from 1 species
AUACCCGGCCGUCGGGGC